rfam:Rattus norvegicus chromosome X, whole genome shotgun sequence.
CCGUGCCUCCUGAUUGCUGAAUGUUCAUUCACCUGGACCGUCCAAUGACCUUCCUUCUGCUACUCCAUCAGCCUACAGACCUGGUACUUGGAUUUUUGUCCAUGGUGAUUCCUACCACCUUACUACUGAAGAAGACACCAUUCCAGUGGACCACUGUGACCCAAGAAGCAUUCAGCCAUCAUGAUGUGGCCUUUACCUCCACUCCUGUCUACUCUGCCCAGAUUCAGCACAGCCCUUUA